rnacentral:lncRNA from 1 species
GACGAAGUAAUCUAAUGUCGUCAGCCUAUGAGCCUAAGGGGUAGGUUGGUAGAGUGGUGGUGGGAUAGUCAUAGUUUGAUGGUUUGUUUUUCAAUGUAUUUUUUUUGGGGGGGGAGCACUAAAUGUUGUAUUUCUUUAUAUUGUUAUAAGAUAUUUAUAAAAAAAUAAUAAUAAAAAAAAAGACAUAAAGCUGAAAAAACCUAAUACAUGGAAAACAACAAUGUGCUGGUCCUGCACUGCAAAACCAAGGGAAGCUGAAGGCAAGGAGAGGAAGAGCCCCAGGGCUCUGGGCCAAAUGUUCCGUUUGGAGGGUCCACACUGAGUUGGGUUCCCUCAGGAUCAGUGGAGAAAGAGACUCGGUCUGGAGAAAACACNGGUGGNAGGCAUGGAAGACUUUGGGGAAGGUUGAAUGGGGAAGGGACACACAGACACACACCCAGGCAAUCCCUGAACCAGGCUGGGAGAGACAGAGCCAUGCAGAACACUGGCAAAAUCCGCCCCCGCCCCAAGAGCUGCAUGGAAAGCAAUUGCAGAUUUGGGGCGGGCGACGAUUGGGUUCCUCUAAUCCUGGGGCGGGUUUCCCGAGUAUGCAAAAUGUCUUUCACGUUUUAUCCUGCUGGAGAGAGGGGGGAAUCCUAUGGGAUGCGGGCAGCAGCCUCCCUUGUGAAUGGGGAAUUUCGAAGUUGCUUUUAACCAGGAGAAGCUUUAUGUUGAAAGAACGGUACGACAAAGAAACUCCGUUCCCCUAGCGUAGUUAGCAGCAUGGAACCGGAAGUGUUUCAGCGCCCCUGCGCCAGGUCAAAGGGCAGGAAGAGGCGGGGAAAGUGGCUUCUUUCGGAGGGGAAUUUUCAAAUUUGCAGCAGCAGCACAGAGGCGAAGAAGGAGGCGCCUUCCCUGGAGCUUACAAGGGGGGGAAUCUGGAUGCACCGCGCCGCUCCUGGAUCCCAGAGAAGGGAGGAAGAGAAGGUGAAAGGCAAAAUGCCAAACGGAGAAGAGCAGCAGGUAACAAGAUUUUAAAUGACUUCAAUCCCCAAAUGCAAAGAGAAGAAAAUGCAGGAAUUCAAGGCGAAACUCAGAGGGGCUGCGCGGGAGGGGUGGAGAUCUUUGGGUGUGGGGCAGGGUGAAAAUGGCCAAAUGAAUGAAUAAGAGGCCUCCGGGGCAUUUCUGUUUGCAUUUGCCGCUGUAAUUAUGCACCACCUUUGGAAAAAAGUCGUCCUCAAGGUGGUUUACAAUAUACAAAAAUAUACAAUAAUAUUAAAGUAAGAAUAAGAAUGUAAGAGGAGCCCUGCUGGAUCAGGCCACACCCUAUGCAGUCUGGCAUCCUGCCUCAUACAGUGACCCACAAAUUGUUUCAGGGCAUCUCAAGCAGAAGAGAAAGGCAAAAUCUCCACCUGCUCUUGGGUCCCUGCAAAUGGCCUUUAGAGGCGUCCUGCCUGUCUCUCCACCCUGGNGGGGGGGGCAGUACCUAAGCAUCCAUCCCAGUAGCCAUUGAUACACCUGAUCUCCCUGAACCUCUCCAGUCNGCUCCUAAAGCUAUCCAGGCUGAUUGCUGUUACCACCUCAACUGGUAUUAAAGUCCGUAGACUAAUGGCCCUCUGGAUGAAAAAAUAUUUCUUUUAUCUAGGGUGUUCUGGUGCUGAACUUACCUAGACCUAGAAGGAAAUCCAAUGUCAAGUCCACACAGUGACAUAGCCCUUUUCUUUCAUAGCUGUAUGAUACUCCAGAAAGGAGUGUUGCUGAUAUAGAGACCUUAUCUAUNCAGAUCUGGUCCAGCUUGUCUAUCAUUGAUAAAUGAAUGACUAUUUUUUAUGGUCUGUGACCAGCAUAAAAAUAAAGUACACAUGAAGUGUAAAUUUUAAAAAAUA